UUGGAGGGCAAGUCUGGUGCCAGCAGCCGCGGUAAUUCCAGCUCCAAUAGCGUAUAUUAAAGUUGUUGCAGUUAAAAAGCUCGUAGUUGAAUUUCGGGGUUAGUAGGCUGGUCGUGCCACCGGUAUGUACUGGUCUUACUGAUUCCUCCUUCCUGAUGAACUGUAAUGCCAUUAAUCUGGUGUUGCAGGGAAUCUGGACUGUUACUUUGAAAAAAUUAGAGUGUUUAAAGCAGGCUAACGCUUGAAUACAUUAGCAUGGAAUAAUGAAAUAGGACGUUCGAUCCUAUUUUGUUGGUUUCUAGGAUUGACGUAAUGAUUAAUAGGGAUAGUUGGG
rnacentral:sRNA from 1 species